rnacentral:lncRNA from 1 species
AAUCUAUAAAAUGACAUUUUCUAUCAAAAUCUAUAUUAUAAGUCGUGUACGUGUCUAAUAGUGAUUCUUGGAUACCAAGACCCCGCAUGUUUUUAAAUAUCAAGGAAAAAAAGCCUUGAACAUCACAAAAUCCAGCACAACUUGAGCAAAUAAGCUGAGUGUAAAUUAAUUUUUUCCUGACCUUUCGAUCACACUUUUUUAAGUUGAGGCUACAAAAUUGUCCGAAUCAUACCAAAAGUAAAGCAUCUGUACUACCGGUGGCAGUCCUUUUGCACCUAAAAUUAUUUAAAGGUAUCAGUUGCACUGAUAUGACAAUAAUCCAAACGUUAUUUUCAUUUAAUCUCUCCGACAGUUGAUAACCCAGUUUGUUAGUGCAAACAACAUUAAUAUCUAGAAGCCUGAAUCACG